rnacentral:lncRNA from 1 species
AUAUGUCCCCCCACCCCAUGAACAUGUAAUAGCAUAAGUUCAUUUCUUUUAGUAGUUCAUCAUGCUAACUAAAAAGAUAAAAACAAAACAAUAAGAUAAAGCAUUUCAAAAAGAAACAAAAAGGUACUUGAUCAAACUUCAAGUUACUUUCUAAAUAAAACUCACACCAUAGCAAUGCGAGUACUUGAUCUAACGUCAAGUAUCUCUCAUCCAUUCCAUGAUCCAUGAUCCAUAUCUCUUCUCC